rnacentral:RNase_P_RNA from 2 species
GAAGUGGGCUGGACGGUCGCUGCUGUGGAGGUCUCCGUGACUGAAGCAGGGGAGGAAAGUCCGGGCUUCAUAGGGCAAGGUGCCAGGUAACGCCUGGGCGGCGAAAGCCGACGGCAAGUGCAGCAGAGAGUAGACCGCCUCAUUCGUGAGGUAAGGGUGAAAGGGUGCGGUAAGAGCGCACCGCGUGUCUGGUAACAGUUCACGGCAAGGUAAACCCCACCAGAAGCAAGACCAAAUAGGAAUCCUGAGGCACGGCCCGUGCUGGAUUCGGGUAGGUCGCUUGAGCGUAUGAGUGAUUGUACGCCUAGAGGAAUGAUCGUCCUCGACAGAACCCGGCUUAUAGGCUCACUUCUAAG